rnacentral:RNase_P_RNA from 1 species
UGAGACAGGAUAGAUUACCGCCGGCACCCCUUAAAAGGUGCGGGAGGAAAGUCCGGACACCCUAUGGCAGCGUAGCGGGUAAUGCCCGUCCACCGCAAGGUGAGGACAAGUGGAACAGAGACGAGCCAGUUAAGUCUGGAUGAAACGGCUAAACUCUACGUGGUGCAAGCUCAAAUAGGCCUAUGUUUUACGACGGCCAGUCGGAAUAGGCGGGUAGAGCGCUUGAGCCAGGGAGCAAUCCUUGGCCUAGAAGAAUGGUAAUCCACGACAGAAUCCGGCUUACAUCUAGUUCUCAACUU